GAUGAACGCUGGCGGCGUGCUUAACACAUGCCAGUCGAACGGAAAGGCUCCUGCUUGCAGGGGUACCCGAGUGGCGAACGGGUGAGUAACACGUGGGUGAUCUGCCCUUCACUUCGGGAUAAGCCUGGGAAACUGGGUCUAAUACCGGGUAGGACGAUGGUCUGGAUGCUGUUGUGGAAAGAUUUUGCGGUGUGGGAUGAGCUCUCGGCUUAUCAGCUUGUUGGUGGGGUAUUGGCGUACCAAGGCGUCGACGGGUAGCCGGCCUGAGAGGGUGUACGGCCACAUUGGGACUGAGAUACGGCCCAGACUCCUACGGGAGGCAGCAGUGGGGAAUAUUGCACAAUGGGCGGAAGCCUGAUGCAGCGACGCCGCGUGGGGGAUGACGGCCUUCGGGUUGUAAACUCCUUUCGCUAGUGACGAAGCGCAAGUGACGGUACCUGGAAAAGAAGCACCGGCUAACUACGUG
rnacentral:rRNA from 1 species